rnacentral:rRNA from 1 species
UACAGAGGGUGCAAGCGUUAAUCGGAAUUACUGGGCGUAAAGCGUGCGUAGGCGGCUGCGCAAGUCGGUUGUGAAACCCCGGGGCUCAACCCCGGAACUGCAUCCGAUACUGCGUGGCUAGAGUUCGGUAGGGGAGACUGGAAUUCCUGGUGUAGCGGUGAAAUGCGCAGAUAUCAGGAGGAACACCGGUGGCGAAGGCGGGUCUCUGGGCCGAUACUGACGCUGAGGAGCGAAAGCGUGGGGAGCGAACAGG